UACAGAGGUCCCAAGCGUUGUUCGGAUUCACUGGGCGUAAAGGGUGCGUAGGUGGUUGGGUAAGUCUGGCGUGAAAUCUCCGAGCCUAACUCGGAAACUGCGUUGGAUACUAUCCAGCUUGAGGAGUGGAGGGGAGACUGGAAUACUUGGUGUAGCAGUGAAAUGCGUAGAUAUCAAGUGGAACACCAGUGGCGAAGGCGAGUCUCUAGACACUUCCUGACACUGAGGCACGAAAGCCAGGGGAGCAAACGGG
rnacentral:rRNA from 1 species